CAACCCACAUCUGGUCAGAAACAACACGGUUCCUUUGUCUGCCGAGGUAUAUCCUCAUGAAGCUCCUUCAACAUCUGCAUCUCAAGCUCCUAGUGUUGCCAGCUCGAGUAAAGAUCAGGGCCUUCCAAGGGUAAUGAGAAGAACUACACGCUCAACAGCAGGUCAGCACUCCAAUGUCCACCAUCUCCCAAGACCAAUGGGAUUAGUGCAUGGGGCUGCACACUCUCCUGAUCCACACUGUAAUGCUGUUUCUGCACUGUUUAGACCUUGGUGCUAGUGUUUUUGGGGUCGUCGUCGGGGCGUCGAUGCAAGUUGGGGGGGUAGAUUGUAGCAGCAUAAAUGGUACGCUGCCACUUUAAGAUCAAUUUCAGCUGCUGCAUAUAAGCAGGUCUCUACCUGCCACAUGACUACUUGCGUCAUGACGUCAACUCAUUUUGCUUAGUUUGUUUGCUGAGCUGUGCUGGGUAAGCGUGGCUGUUUCUUUGUUUGUCAGCUUUUAUCAUAGCCAUUAAUGCAAGCUGGUUUGAUUUGUUUAGCCUCCCUUGCUGUGCCUCCAACUCCUGGACCAAUUUGUUCGGUUGUUUGCUGCCGGUAAGCUGCGCUCCGUAGGUGAACUUGUGGAUCUGUUAAUCUGGCCGUGUGGUAAUUUACAGGUAAGCAGCUACCAUAAGUCAUAGUUUUUAUCAGCAGUUGUAUUAAUAAUCUACUUUAUUUUUUUAGCCUCCUGCCGAGUCCCUGACAACUAUUCUAUUUGGAUGUACACUCGCUGCUGUUUUGCCUACGUUGAAUUGUUUUAAAAGAUUUGUAUGAACUUUCCCCCGCUGCCGGGAGUAUUGAUGGCACCACAAACGGGAUAAAAAAAAGCAAUAUUGUAGUGCUAUUGUAUCACUGUUUUACUCGUAUUGUUUCAUUUUUUUGUCUUUCUUUUAGGGACUGAGGCUUCUGUGGUGGCGGUGGUGACCCCUGGUGGCGGUGUCUUGUCUUG